rnacentral:lncRNA from 1 species
AUUAAUUAUUUAUUUCUAAUUUCAGAUUGUCAGUGUUCUAACAGGGAGACAACACCAGCAUUUUCAUCUGUUCGCACACAUGAUCAAAGCGUUUCAGCAAAUGUUGCUAUCAAGUUUGACAGAGUUGUAGUCAACAUUAAAGACGGCUACGACCCAACGACAGGUAUUUUCACUGCACCUAGUAAAGGAGUGUAUCAUAUAUCGUCAACUGUGAUGAACGCACGAGGACACAAACUGUGGGUUAGUCUUUACCUUAAUGACGUGAAAGUGUCAAGUAUUUGGUUAAAUCCUUCAAGUAAAACUUUUGAAAUGGGUACAACCAAUAUGAUAUUGGAUCUCAAAGAAGGAGACAAAGUAUCUAUAAGAUCGCGUGGUAGUUACACAGUUCACAGUGAUCCGAAUGUCUACAGCUCAUUCUCUGGCUAUCUGAUUACGAAUUAAUGAAAAUUUACAUGGCUAUGACUUUUAAGUUUUGUCUUUUGAUUGCUAAUUUAUAGAAGAAAUCGUGAAUGUUUUUAUUCCACUUAUAGUAUUAUACGAAAUGUUCCAAACAAUUUCAAGUCCUGGAUUAGCAUACAGCAUGGAAAAGACGUGACUGAGUUGUGAAAAUUGUGUCUGAUACAUUUGUCAUUUUGAACAAUAAAAUAUGUUUAAAUUAUACAGCAGGACGAUUAAAUACGCACCUACAGUAACUUGUUGAAACGCAAUUAAAGUAAAUAUAAAGUAAAUGUAAAGUAAA